GCAGUCAUGGCGGAAUUGGCAGACGCGCACGGUUCAGGUCCGUGUGCUCGCAAGGGCGUGGAAGUUCGAGUCUUCUUGGCUGCACCA
rnacentral:tRNA from 1 species